rnacentral:rRNA from 1 species
AGCGGGAAGUAGUUUACUACUUUGCCGGCGAGCGGCGGACGGGUGAGUAAUGUCUGGGAAACUGCCUGAUGGAGGGGGAUAACUACUGGAAACGGUAGCUAAUACCGCAUAACGUCUUCGGACCAAAGUGGGGGACCUUCGGGCCUCACGCCAUCGGAUGUGCCCAGAUGGGAUUAGCUAGUAGGUGGGGUAAUGGCUCACCUAGGCGACGAUCCCUAGCUGGUCUGAGAGGAUGACCAGCCACACUGGAACUGAGACACGGUCCAGACUCCUACGGGAGGCAGCAGUGGGGAAUAUUGCACAAUGGGCGCAAGCCUGAUGCAGCCAUGCCGCGUGUGCGAAGAAGGCCUUCGGGUUGUAAAGCACUUUCAGCGAGGAGGAAGGCCAAUAACUUAAUACGUUGUUGGAUUGACGUUACUCGCAGAAGAAGCACCGGCUAACUCCGUGCCAGCAGCCGCGGUAAUACGGAGGGUGCAAGCGUUAAUCGGAAUUACUGGGCGUAAAGCGCACGCAGGCGGUUUGUUAAGUCAGAUGUGAAAUCCCCGCGCUUAACGUGGGAACUGCAUUUGAAACUGGCAAGCUAGAGUCUUGUAGAGGGGGGUAGAAUUCCAGGUGUAGCGGUGAAAUGCGUAGAGAUCUGGAGGAAUACCGGUGGCGAAGGCGGCCCCCUGGACAAAGACUGACGCUCAGGUGCGAAAGCGUGGGGAGCAAACA